AUUUUUUUGAGGGCCUCAUGUGACAGAUUUGCACAUUGCUUUUCUACAGGUAUGCUCAGUAUGGUGAUGUCUCUCCUAAAGUUGAUGUCUACGCUUUUGGUGUUGUCCUAUAUGAACUAAUUUCAGCCAAGGAAGCGAUAGUCAAACCAAAUGGUUCUGUUACUGAAUCAAAGGGUCUUGUUGCUUUGUUUGAAGAAGUACUUAAUCAGCCAGAUCCUGAUGAAGACCUUCGAAAGCUGGUUGACCCAAGACUUGGAGACGACUAUCCCCUUGAUUCAGUCCGGAAGAUGGCACAGCUCGCCAAAGCUUGCACCCAGGAAAAUCCCCUAAUAAGACCAAGUAUGAGAUCAAUAGUGGUUGCACUGAUGACCCUCUCUUCGUCGACAGAAGAUUGGGAUGUUGGAUCUUUCUAUAAAAAUGAAGGUCUGAUAAAUCUUAUGUCUGGAAGGUAGUAAACCAAGAUCUUGCUUCCACACGCAAUUAAUAUCUCAUCUAGAUCCUUGCUUGCGAACGAGACCGAGACCAUGUUGUUUAAGCAUUGGAUCAGUGUACUUACUACUUGUGCAGUGUGACUUGUAUAGUACUUGCUUGAAUAGUGUACGAAAGCAUAGAAAGAGGUCUUGAUUUGUAACAGUUAGGACAAAGUAACAUUCUUUGUGAGUUAGAUAUGGAACAUUUCCUCAUGGCAAAAUACAUUUUUUUCUUUGUUGUCUGCUGCUGUGACGAGCAAUGUUUAUUGUUGUCCCACAUUGUAGAUCAAUUCAGUCACACAUGUCUGAAAAAUGCAGAAUUACUUCUUCAUAUGUUUGUUUCUUAUGGCUGUUACGCAAGAAAUCUAGUUCUCUUCAUAUUU